rnacentral:lncRNA from 1 species
GCUAUUUCCCUAGGUAUCUCAUGCUCCUGAAAGCCUUGUCCAGUCAUUCUUUGAUUCUCCUGCCUUGUUCCUAUACCACAACAGCUGCAGGGGCCUGGGAUGUGGUAUCUACAAAUGGGGUAUUUCCUACCCCAUACUAACAGCGGAUUGAUCCUGUACCAUCUUCCCAGAACUGAUGUGCACCAUUUCUUGACUGUGUUUGAGCCUGGAGAGCCUGAAUCCCCAGCCAUGGAACUACUGGACAUGUUCCUAGCUCAACUUGAUUGUAGAGAAAAGGGCAGGGAAUGACAGACAAUAUAUGUGGUAGGGUUUUCCUGCCUGCAUUUUUGGUCACAUGGGCCUGAAGGAAGGACCUUUGAGAACUUUAUUGUCAUUUUCCUAGCACUUUAGGAGGAAAAUGAAACCCUUUUCCUUCUAGAUCCUCUGCACUGCCUCUCUCCCCAACACACUCACUCACACACACACACACACACACACACACACACACACACACAUAUCUGGGAGGCCUGGUGCCAUGAUUCCCCAACUCAUCCUAAAUUUCUGUACCUGUGACAACUCUGGAGCCAGCACAUUUGUCUGGGUCUUCCUCCUCACAAAUAGGUCUCUAAACUUCUUCAGUGGAGAUUCAAAUCAGUGUGUUUUUGAUUUUUAAAAUGGACUUUCUUAAAAUUCCUUUCAGUUUAAUUUAUCUUCUCUUGCUUCUUUUGUUCCUUUAUGGGGCAUGUUCUCUAGCUUCUCAGGGCCAAGUCAGAGCUCAGAGCUUUGGUCUUUGAGGUGACAGUGAAGUUCCUGAGGUCUGCGAUAGGGCACUGCACUGAGGAGCUAAGUUUCUUAAUGGGGCCUGGCCCUAGGGCAGCUCAAAGACCAUUUGGUGCUUUCUUGGUUUAGAGAAAAGCCAGUCAAUUUCUCCUGUGUGUUCACCACCAGUUUCACAUGCUUCUCAGCAUGAAAUGGAACUGCUUUCUCCAUGCUUUCUAGUGGAACAGUGUAGAUAAGACCCUCAGGACUCAGGGGUGAAUACCAUGGGCUUUAGGUCUCCUCUAAUGUCCCUAUUGGGCCACUUGGACUGCUGUCCAUUCCUUCAUAGUGGGUCAAGUUUGAAAAAGAAAAGUGCUCAAGUGAGUGAAGAACCUGGCUCUUUGCUUGGGAGCAGCAUUUAGAGUUCAGGUUGUUGGAGGUUAACUUAAUUAGCAAAAGUCAAGACUGAAGAUAGAGCACAGUUAUUCUGAGUUAAGAAUAUUGAAAUCCACUACAUUAAUGGGUGCUGCACUUAAUAUUUUGCAAUGUGCUUUCACAGUCAUCAUCUCAUUGGAUCUUUACACAGACUCUGAGGUGGGCAAGGCAGGGAUUAUUAUCCCCAAUUUGCUAAUGAGGAAACUAAAACUCAGAGAUGGAAAGUGACUGGUCUUAAGUUACUCAGUGACAUAGGUGUGAAUGUAUAGACUAGAAUGCUUUCAUACCCUAUCCAAUAUCUUGAAAUCUUUAUUUUCUAAAGGACAGUGUUUUUUGAUAGGAAGAUUUUUUCCAUAUCUUUUCCAGCAAACAACUCUUUGGAAGGAAAAGUUCCUGAUAUCUGUAUGAGAAUGAAGUACGGUUAUUGCCCACCAUGCCAAGACUGACCUCCCCACUUAACGGCCAGUUUCCCCUAUCUGCUACCACCAGCCUAGUACAUUUUCUGCUUGGUCUGUUCCUAGCAAGAAGCCAAGACUUUAAAUUUUGCACCACCUUUCAAAAGCUCAGAAAUUGAGAAGGGUUAUAAGGCUAGACAGGACUCUUCCUGUUUGUCUUAUCUUCUUUUUGCCCCUGAGGUAUGGAAGGGAAUAAAGGCUGGAGUCAGAUUAUUUUUAAUCCUUCCACAAAUAGAUUGUGUAUAUUUAACCAAACCUAUCAAUAAUAACACUUCUGUGUUUUAGAGUUUAAAAAGGAUCAUUCAUAUGUUAUGAAUAUUUUAAAGAUGACAAAACUGAGGCCCAGUAGUGCUUUACCCAGAAUAAUUCAUUUUUGAGAAAGAGCUUGCCCUGCAAAUCAACCCCAGGCCCAAGUGUGGACCCCAUGACUGAGAGUGGAGGUCAGGGAAAGGCAAAUAGAGCAGAAACUACUCUUGGAUAUAGCAGGGGGGCAGGCAGGGUUACUGAAUGGCCUCUUAUGUUAUUUCUGUUUGUCAACACUGCCUAAAUGGCAUAAGACUGGGGCAAGCUUCAGGAGAUUGAUUAAGGCAGCCAAACUCCACCACCAAGUAAGGCAUUUGGCCCCAUAGUCUGUUAAGUGCUACUAAGGCAGUAGUAGAAUAUUCUAUUGAAAAAUAGCACAUGAUUCACUUGUAUCUUAAUCCAUCUGGGACAGGAUAGAGGAACUUUUAGCUUUUCUCUCCCUGUAACUUUCACCCCCUGAUGGUCUACAAGAUUUUUUCUGCCUUCUUCUAGAUCCCCUUAGAUUCCUGGCAUUCUCUGGGUUUUCUGAAUGUUUGAAGAGCAAUGGUACUGAGUUUGUAGCAUAGGGCAGCACACACAAUUUACCUCUUGAUCUCCUGGGCCUCAGCCUAUAUUUGAGGUGCUAUAUCUCUCUACACCCAGCAGGGAGCAGGGCUGGAGUUUGCCCACUUACAACUUUACAUUUGUAACAUUUCUGAGCCAAGGUGGCUUUCCUUCUGGUGCCUGGGUUCCUCAAACUACCUCCCAGCCAUUCCCCAAAGACACUCCCAAUUCAUAUAGGCUGAGUGAGGAGGGGAAAGUGACCCAACUCCCUCUUUGUAUUGACAUGUCAAUUAGAUCCCAGCUGUCCCAGCACUCUUUUCCAUUUGAUACUUUUUUGAAAUGUCUUUUUUUUCUUUAGUUCCCACCUAUACAUCUCAUGAUCAGAGAAGCAUGCUCCUUUGAAGGUUGUAUUAUUCUUCAUUAUCUGAGAAUCUUUCUGAAGCUUGUACAGCUAGUUCCUAUUCCACAAGUACUUAGUGGUUAAUUCAGUACCUUUAGGCAGAAUGUGCACUUCAUCACCAGGUCCUAGCCCUGACAAAGAGUGUUCACUACAGCAAUACUCCUUCUAUGAUUUUAUUAAAUGCAUCUUUGAGAACAGUCCACCUACAAACACUGAUUAAGGGCCCCUUGGCAGCCCAUUGAUCAGGGUGCUAAAAGCACCUAGGUGAAAGCAAAGAGGUCCCAUUGUACUGGAUGGAGGAUUAGAAGCAAUUGAAUUUCAAGUCUGCACCAAGCAGCCUGGCCUCACCAAGGUAUUAACAAAUAUGUGUGAGCCAUGGUUUAGACCUUGGCCUUUAGGUUCUCUGUUCUCUUUUUCUGGGACAGUUUAUUCUUAUCUCACUGGCUUUAAUUAGUCAUGUCUACACCUUCUGGUAGGGGAAGAACUAGUACCCAAACAGAGGGUGAUUCAGCCUAAACAGGUCCCAGGUGUUUAAAGGUCACCAUAUGCCUGGUAGUGGUUCAAGCCCAAGUCUAACACUGCCACUCUGUGAGAAAGAUAGAAAUUAUAACACAAUAACAUUAACAGUUACCCUACUUCACUGUCCCUGCCUAUAGUCUGAACAUUGUAUGACUAUACUAGAAUCACCUUGCCACCUUGAUUCCAAUUUUCUGAAAUUUAACAAUUGGAUUUAGCAACUGGAAUGGGACAAUUAAGUUUUGUUUUGCUCUGCUUUUUAAGGUAUAUUGGAUAGACAUGAAGUGAAGGAUUUUUUUUCUUUAUAAUUGCUAUUUGGCCACAGCCAAUAUUACAUUUGGGUGUUUGGUCCAAGAUAGUCCUUUUAAAGGUUUCCUGAUCAUUGUUUUUAAAGCGGAAGCAUCUUUGAGCACUCUACUUUUAAAAAAAAAAAAAAAUUUAGUUGUAGAUGGACAUAACAUCUUUAUUUUGUUUGUUUACUUUUUCAUGUGGUGCUGGGGAUCAAACCCAGUGUGUCACACAUGGUAGGCAAGCACUCUACUGCUGAGCUACAACCCUAGCCCCUGAGCACUAUGCUUUUUUAUAUUUUCCACUUGAGGGUUGUUGGUCAGUGAAAGCAAAAAAGUGCGCAUGAUAGAAUCAUUUUCAAUAUACCCCGAUCCUAGACAAUAGUUGAGUUGUCCAUAUUUUAAGUAGCAAAGAACAUUGGUUUUUGUUUGUAAAGGAGAGGGAAAUGGUUGCUGUCAAAGAGUAGGCAUUUUUGGUUGAUGUGGAUUUUGACCAGAAGUAGUCUGUGAAAGGAACUUUUUCCUCCAAGGUUCUCAAAUCCAGGCUUGGUAAGGGUGUCUGAUACUACAGCACUAUUCUCGCCAACACACAGCCCUGCCACACUGAGAUCAUCAAACCUUCUGUUCCCCUCCUACUCCCCACCUCACUACCAAGUUCUUCAGUGUUUUAUAUUGAAUGUAGGUUCAUCUUAAUUACCUUUUCCCUCAUGAAUGAGUUAUUUAUAGAGAUUUUGUUAAAUCUUGAGCCAUAUGCAUGUGUGGAUAUUGGCAGGGUUCUGUUUGAUUUAUGAUACUGUGCAAACAUUUUAUAUUAUCCAAUAAACAGAAAUACAUACAAAUAUCUUGUUUAUUCCU